CCACGUGCUAUUCUUUCAUACGUUAAAUCACAUUUAUGACCAUCUCAUCCUCUCCACACUUUCCUGUGGGGCAUUGAAAACUUCUUGUGGACUCCCUCCUUUUUAGGAAUGUUCUUGUGGGUAAACAUUCCAGAACAAUUUGCCAUGCCAAAUCUUUUUAACAUUAUUCCAAGUCAACUUGCAAGACUUUUUAUUCUGUUUAAAGGGAGUAAAAUUGAUUUCCGGCUAAUGGCAGUUUGGUGUGAGUAGUAGUAGUAGUGAGCUACUGCAGAGUUGGCUGUUUUUUCAAUUAAAGGAGGCCUUUGACCUCGCCGAGGAGCCGCUGCUAGAUCCUGUUCACCGUACUCUGCCUCCCAAGCCUAAGACAGGCUGCCAAGAUGGCGCAAGCAUGUGCAGCCUUCAAAGACUGCUGCCGCCAGCUCAAGGGGUCCGGUUCCCACUGCUUCACCCAGCCUGGCUGCGGAUUACUCGUGAUGGGGUCACACUGGAUUUUACCUCUACAGAGGAGGCCAAAACUUACAAGAUGAUAACCAAAACCUGCAGGUCCUUGCUGAUUGGAGAGCUGGCAGCUGCUGAUUGAUUUCCUGAUCAAGUGGCUGAUUUGAAAAACUCUCUCCAGCAGUUGUCCUGGGGCAGCAACUGACAGCAGCAGCAGACCUGUCCUUGGCCUCCGAAGCCCUCGAUGACUUUUUGCGUGUGUGUUCCCUGAGGAUCGCUGAGCUGUGUAAAUAGAUUGUAGUUACUUUUCACGUGUAAAAAGGUACUGAAGCAGAAGGGGUGAACUGCCUUAUUAUUAUCUGUACUGUUUUUUCAGUUAGGGAGUUAGGUUUAGCACUUGUCUUUUGUUUGGUUUUUGUUUCACCCAGGGUUUAGAUAGUGUUUUGCUUUGACAGUCUGCAUCCUACGUUAAUGUUUUCAGUUUUGCGUCUGCUUUGUCUCGUCAUGUUUGAUUACUCCCAGCUGUGCUCUCCUUCUGUGUCUCCUUCCCUCGUUAUCCCUCUUUGUAUUUAAGCUCUGUGUUUGACUUGCUCUGUGUUGCAAUCUCCCUCAUUCCACACUGUGUGUUCUGUCUGCAAGCCUGCCUGUUUAGUUAUUUGUAGUUUUCUAAGGUUUUUUUUUGUUUUUUCUUUUGCCAUCCACCAAUAAAGCUGAGUUUGAAUUUACUUUUUUGCCUCUGUGAGUCAGCAUAUUGGGUCCUCCUUUCUUGUC